rnacentral:rRNA from 1 species
AUUGAACGCUGGCGGCAUGCCUUACACAUGCAAGUCGAACGGCAGCGGACCUUCGGGUGCCGGCGAGUGGCGAGCGGGUGAGUAAUAUAUCGGAACGUACCUUUCAGUGGGGGAUAACGUAGCGAAAGCUACGCUAAUACCGCAUAUUCUGUGAGCAGGAAAGCAGGGGAUCGCAAGACCUUGCGCUGAUUGAGCGGCCGAUAUCAGAUUAGCUAGUUGGUAAGGUAACGGCUUACCAAGACAAUGAUGGGUAGGGGUCCUGAGAGGGAGAUCCCCCACACUGGUACUGAGACACGGACCAGACUCCUACGGGAGGCAGCAGUGAGGAAUAUUGGUCAAUGGACGCAAGUCUGAACCAGCUAUGCCGCGUGCAGGAAGACGGUCCUAUGGAUUGUAAACUGCUUUUAUACAGGAAGAAACAACUCUACGUGUAGAGUCUUGACGGUACUGUAGGAAUAAGGAUCGGCUAACUCCGUGCCAG